UACUUAGUAUAAGUAUGUCCUUUGCAAUAUUUAGGAUAUACUUACACUAAAA
rnacentral:pre_miRNA from 1 species